GACGAACGCUGGCGGCGUGCUUAACACAUGCAAGUCGAACGGUAAGGCUCCAGCUUGCUGGGGUACACGAGUGGCGAACGGGUGAGUAACACGUGGGUGACCUGCCCUGCACUUCGGGAUAAGCCUGGGAAACUGGGUCUAAUACCGGAUAGGACCGCACCGUGAGGGUGUGGUGGAAAGUUUUUUCGGUGUGGGAUGGGCCCGCGGCCUAUCAGCUUGUUGGUGGGGUAAUGGCCUACCAAGGCGGCGACGGGUAGCCGGCCUGAGAGGGUGGACGGCCACAUUGGGACUGAGACACGGCCCAGACUCCUACGGGAGGCAGCAGUGGGGAAUAUUGCACAAUGGGCGGAAGCCUAAUGCAGCGACGCCGCGUGGGGGAUGACGGCCUUCGGGUUGUAAACUCCUUUCACCAUCGACGAAGGGUUUCUGACGGUAGAUGGAGAAGAAGCACCGGCUAACUACGUGCCAGCAGCCGCGGUAAUACGUAGGGUGCGAGCGUUGUCCGGAAUUACUGGGCGUAAAGAGCUCGUAGGUGGUUUGUCGCGUCGUCUGUGAAAUUCCGGGGCUUAACUCCGGGCGUGCAGGCGAUACGGGCAUAACUUGAGUACUGUAGGGGAGACUGGAAUUCCUGGUGUAGCGGUGAAAUGCGCAGAUAUCAAGAGGAACACCGGUGGCGAAGGCGGGUCUCUGGGCAGUAACUGACGCUGAGGAGCGAAAGCAUGGGGAGCGAACAGGAUUAGAUACCCUGGUAGUCCAUGCCGUAAACGGUGGGCGCUAGGUGUGGGUUUCCUUCCACGGGAUCCGUGCCGUAGCUAACGCAUUAAGCGCCCCGCCUGGGGAGUACGGCCGCAAGGCUAAAACUCAAAGGAAUUGACGGGGGCCCGCACAAGCGGCGGAGCAUGUGGAUUAAUUCGAUGCAACGCGAAGAACCUUACCUGGGCUUGACAUAUACAGGAUCGCGCCAGAGAUGGUGUUUCCCUUGUGGCUUGUAUACAGGUGGUGCAUGGUUGUCGUCAGCUCGUGUCGUGAGAUGUUGGGUUAAGUCCCGCAACGAGCGCAACCCUUGUCUUAUGUUGCCAGCACGUUGUGGUGGGGACUCGUAAGAAACUGCCGGGGUUAACUCGGAGGAAGGUGGGGAUGACGUCAAAUCAUCAUGCCCCUUAUGUCCAGGGCUUCACACAUGCUACAAUGGUCGGUACAGUGGGUUGCCAGUCCGUGAGGGCGAGCUAAUCCCGCAAAGCCGGUCUCAGUUCGGAUCGGGGUCUGCAACUCGACCCCGUGAAGUCGGAGUCGCUAGUAAUCGCAGAUCAGCAACGCUGCGGUGAAUAAAUUCCCGGGCCU
rnacentral:rRNA from 1 species